ACCAGACUCCUACGGGAGGCAGCAGUGGGGAAUAUUGGGCAAUGGGCGCAAGCCUGACCCAGCAACGCCGCGUGAAGGAAGAAGGCUUUCGGGUUGUAAACUUCCUUUAUGAGGGACGAAACAAAUGACGGUACCUCAUGAAUAAGCCACGGCUAACUACGUGCCAGCAGCCGCGGUAAUACGUAGGUGGCAAGCGUUAUCCGGAUUCACUGGGUGUAAAGGGAGCGUAGACGGCCAUGCAAGCCUGGAGUGAAAGCCCGGGGCCCAACCCCGGGACUGCUCUGGGAACUGUGCGGCUGGAGUGCGGGAGGGGCGGGCGGAAUUCCUGGUGUAGCGGUGAAAUGCGUAGAUAUCAGGAGGAACACCGGCGGCGAAGGCGGCCUGCUGGACCGCGACUGACGUUGAGGCUCGAAAGCGUGGGAAGCAAACAGGAUUAGAUACCCGUGUACA
rnacentral:rRNA from 1 species